UCUGAGGAGGUCCGAACUCAGGCGCCGGGGCCACUGGGGUCUGCGCGUCGCGCGGGCGGUGCGUGCGUCCCAGGGAUGCUCUCCCCGGGUAGGACUGGGAGUUUCCAUCUGCCCGGUGAGGGGGGCGCUCGGAGCAGAAAUGCUGCUUACGAAACUUAAACCUUAAAAUCAGGAAAAGUAGUUUGGGCCGUCAGCGGGAGCCCCCCCGCGGCUAAUAUGGAGGGAGAGUUGGGAGGGGGAGAGAGGACGAGCAGGGCCGAUUGGGAUGCAGACGGCAACAGGAGCAGGAGCCGAGUUCAAAAAGGCGCCUGAGUUCUUUCCUUCACUUAAGAGGAAAUUGAGAAUAGUUGGAGACUUUUCCCUUCCGAGUCUGUCUCCUGGGGGAGGGGGGUCGGGGGAUCUCAAGAGACUCUUCUUUUAGGGCGGAAUAUUUUUUUUCUUUUAUAAAGUAAAAUGAUGAUUCUCUGUUUUUUUUUCUUUUUUUGUAAAGUGCCCUCGGAUUUUGCGUUAUUAUCAGAGCCAAAUAACGGCCUUUUAAAAUCUCAAUUUUUUUCUUAAACUGGCGUUGCGCAAGUAUGAGUGAUCCAUUGCUCUGCUCUUUGAGGGCUCUGCGUUUCCAGUCAAAGUAUUUCAGCGCCUUUUGGGUAGUGUUUUCUUUUCAACUCCAGUGACCUUCCUGAGACACUACAAACAAACCAACAAACCCUUCGCUCACAAGCUCCUCCAUUAACUCAAAGGUUUAUGGACAGAAAAUAAACAAUUCUAAAUUCCCUGGGCUCUAGUCUCCAGAAAAGUGAGGUCAGAAACCAAACAUUUGAUAAUUAUGGCAGGAAAUGUGGAAGGAAUUAAAAAGCAUGAGGGAGAAGAAAUGGAAUGUACAUUACAAAAGAAAUAGCUCCCUGGUGGGUGGUUAUUCUCCCUCUUUGAAUUUUUUUUCUUCGUAUUACAGUUUAGCCCCACCCUUAGCAUCACAGCUUGACUGCCUAGGAAAGUCAUAAAAGCCUGCAAGGUCUUCACGAUUAACAACAAAAAAGUACACAUUAUACUGAACUCUCAUUUAAUUCACUACCACACUUUUGGUUGAUCUGGAAACACGUGCUGUUUUUACUCACAAUGAAAUAAAAAUAGCUAAUAUUUUUUGGAUAUCUACUUUGUGUUGUAAUAAAACUCCAUUUGAGUGAUGGGGAAACUAAGUCAGAAAGGUCACAUAAUUUAUCUAGUGUCCUAAGUUGUUAAAUGGUAGGAGUGGGAUUUGAACACAGUCAGGCAUCGCACCCCAGGCUCUUAACCGCUGUCUCACACAAGGACUAAAUAUUUGCCAUGUACUUCUUAUAUAGCAGACGUUGGUUGGGCUGCAUGCCUCAUUUCUUUUACAGCUUUCCAGAACAUUGUAGGGUCAGUUUUGUUAUCCACAAUUUACAGAGGAAGAAACAGGUUCCGGAGACUAGGUAACCUGCCCAGGGUCUCACAGCUAGUUCUCAGGAAGGAUCUGAACCCAGCUCCUUCCACUGGUGGAGCUCAUCUUGAACUCCAGAUCUGCUUCUAAUGCAUUUUGUUCUCCAGGGUUUGAGUUUGAGGGAGGAUCUUUCACUGGCUGAUUUAGUCCUGGCUGAGAAACAGCCUUCCAUCCCUGCUGCUGCCCUCAAAAGGCUGCUGUAGUCCAUUGAUGGAUGUGGUGAAUCCCUGGUUUGUUUUACUGCAGGUUUAGGAAUUGCCAGCUAGUGUGUGAAAUCGCUCUGUGAACUGGAAUGCACAUUUGAGGAGUGAGGAUGCCAUAGGUUCACUCGCCACAAGGCUCUAUAGCCCAAGGUCUGGGAUCUGUUCUCCCAAGCUGUUUGUACUACACCCCCUCCCCCCGGUGCAUUGCAGGGAAAAGCUUAGCCCUCAUAGGAAGUUCCCCCAGCAGCAAUUUCCUGCUUGAGGUGGAAGAGCAGAAAGUACUCUCACAGAAUUCCCAAGGCAAAAUCGUGGGGAAAGAGGCAAAAUCAAGAAGUGCUGAGGCAUGAAAACGGAGGAAGUGGUGCAGAAAGAAGGCUGUGAACUCAGGGUAUGUGAGGAGUAGGUAUGAUGUAGCUUUCAUUUCAUGACUCCAGAUUAUUAAGGAUUAUUUUUUUUAUCGAUACAAUCUCUUGGUAUCUGACCCUGGUAACAUUUGGCAAGUUUUUAAUCAGUGUUUUAAUAAUAAUAAAUGAAAAGAUAGAUUAGCCCUAGCAAUUUGGAUAUUACUUUCAGCAUUUUAUCGUGUAGUUAAUGGUGCUUUUGCAGUGGAAUUUUUUUUCCUUGUUAGCUGCAACAACAUAUAGCAAACAAAGCCAAGUAAUGGUAUUUACUGUUUUUAUUGACAUGAAUCCACUUUAGUAGACUUUAGGGCUGAAAUCGUACAAAUAUCGUUGAACUUUUAAAAUGAAAUUUAAAAAACAAACUGAGUUUUCUUGGUGCUUUUUGAUUUAAUACAAGCACAAGGAUUCAAUUCAGCAUAUUUUUAAACUAUGUGAUUGCACAACAAAUUAUGUUGAUAGUUGAAGAAGCCAAGUCUUUGGAAUAGUAGUAGACCUCUAGAAUCAGGUGUCCCUAGCUUGAGAAAAGGUGGUUGUCAUCAUUAUUAGUGCCAGUCUGUAAAUCCUGUUUGGUUAGAUUCAAGAAACUAUUAACAAAUCUCAUUAAGGAAAGUGUUAUAUUUUUAAUGUUUUCCAUGGUCUCUUGGUACCUCAGGGUUGAUUUUUUGGCUGCUUCCUCUUUUUCUUUCUUUUUGUCAUAAUACUUCAGGCAGCCUCCAUCAAAAUUCCAUCCCAUCCACUUGAGCGCACAGCCAUGUACUCUUUAGAGUCUACUUGAAACGGGGUGUUGGCACAUGUCUCUCGAUGAGCAUGUAUUAGUAUCUGCAAUGGACGAGGAAUGGGGGGGUUGCAGCGGCAGAGCAAGCUACCUUGUUUCAGAAUCUUCUUGGAGGGGGUUAUGUGGGCCUGCUCACUCUUCCUUUACCCAUCCACCUCCCAUUGAGAAUUACUGCAGUUCACUGAGAGGUGUGGAUAGUGGAGGCUAGGAAAGGUUGACAUGUGCCCUUGAGUCUCAGGAGGUGGUGGGUAUGAGUCUACUCUAACACCACAGGCUGGAGGGGACCCUGUGGCCCAACUGCCUGCUUCCAAAAGGCAGCAUUGGCAAGUGCCCAAGCAUACUCCACUCUCCGUUGGUGGUCAUCUCUGCUGGCACUCUGAUUUCCAACAUUCCAGGUCUAUAAAUUUAUCAUGAUAAGUCACAAGUACAGGAGACUGAUUCACAAACAGGACACUCAUUCCAGUAAGGGAAUACUUAACCUAUGAACUGUGAGUGCAUCAUUUAAGAUAAUAGCAGCAAGAACAAUAACAAUUAUACAGAUAAGCAAGAAGAUUAUUAGGGCAUUGUCCCUCUGAAGCCAGGUUUCAUAACCUCAUUUAUACCCUAUUAUCAACAUACAGUUAAGCAACCACUAGGGGUAUUAUUGGCAGAUGUGGGGUCUCCUCUUUAUUCUUUAGAAUUACUCUAAUAGCGGAUUCAGGAAGGCCUAGAGUGUGAUUUUCCCAUUUUCCCUUGAUUUUCCCCACAUCCUCUGACUGCUUCUUGAAGCUACAGCAAAAACUAGGAUUUUAAUAUCCAUCUUGAACAUUAACCACUAAAAUAAUCUCUUGUUUGUUUAUCCUUUGCUGUGAUUCUGGAGACCAUUGUUAGAAAUUGGGAUGUUAAAACAUGGCAGUGACUGCUGAAUAGCCAAAACAGAUGGACAGGCACCCUGCAAAUUGAGGCCCUGGAUGUUGAAAAUGUCUUUAGAAAGGACAUGUCACAAUUCCCAUAGACGUCUCUGGAUUGGGUAAUGGAAAGCAGGAGUCCAUUCUCAGGCUCAGAGGAAUGAGUUUGGGAAGAGCUGUGAGGUGGGGGCAUGGGCUGCUAUGAAUGUAAUGUCCCAAACAAGAAAAUAAAGUCUUCAAAGUCAGUGAGGCAGGAAAACACAUGUUUCCAGGAGAACAGGGAAAGGAUGAGCUGUAAAUGCCAGUGGUCACACACAGAGAAUUGAAAACAUCAUGGUGUCUUUUUCCUGCUCCUUUUCAAAUAAAUGGACAUCCAGACAGAAAUUUCUAGUAGCCACAAAUAGUAUUAGCUUAAGGACACCAGAUAUUAUAGGACUGAAAACAACUUAUACUUAGAUGGGUUCAUUUUGUAAGCUGUGUGACUGAUGUCCUGUAGGUCAAAUGCAUACUUUUCUCUAAGGUUCCAUCUUCUGUCACUUGUGACUUUGGCAUGGGGUGCUUUCUCCAGGAGUGAGUCAUUAACAGCACAGGCCUUCCCUUCACGGUGCCCAUCAGUCAGUAUUCCCUGAUGUAGGCUGAGCAUGCCCUACACAGGGCAGGGUCAUGGAUGAAGUGCAAGACAUGGUCUCUGCCCUCAGGUUGCUUACAGUCUAAUGGUGGGCUGUUAGAUUUAAACUGCGGCAGCUAUAACGUAUAAUAUUAUAACUGCAUGAUGAACAACUAUCUUCAUUAUUAUUAUUGCUUUUUUUUACAUUAACAAGGACUUCCCCUGAUUUUUAAAGUUAUUUUACAUUAGUACAAUGCACAAAUCUUUACUGUAUAGUUUGAUGAACUUUUACAUGUGAAUAUACCCAUGUAGCCACCACCCGAUCAAGACUGAGGGAAUUGGUACAGUAAGGAGGCUAUGAACUCAGGGUAUGUGGAAAUAGUUAAAAUGAAAAAAGUGAGGUAUAGGUAUGAUCAAGGUUACAUUUCAUCACUUGAUGAUCAUUAUCAUUUAAUUAGUCCAGUCUCUUGAUGUCUGUCCCUACUAACAUUUGGCAAGCUUUUAAUUCAUGUUUUAACAAUAAUGAACCUUUAAUAAUUCAUGAAAAGGUAAAUGAACCCUCUCCAUAUGAGACUUGCACUUUGGAUAUUAUUUUAAGCAUUUUAAACUUGUAGUUAACAGUGCUUGCAGUAGAAAAUUGUUUUCCUUGUUAGCUACAAAAACAUAGCAAACACAGUUAAAUACAGUCUUUAUUGACAUGAAUUCAUUUUAGCAAACUUUGUAUAGCUGACUUGAUUGUUUUGCUGAUGGAUAUUUCAGGGCUCCAUAUAAUCUAUGCUGAGAAACCAAAUCAAGGAAAGAAACUCAAAUAAUUCUAUUUGACCACUUUGCCCUGGUCAUUAUUUUAAAGGGACUCUACAUAAGAUGCCUAUCAUAUUAUUUAUGAAAGCUAAAAACUUAAAACCUACUACAUACCUAACAAGAGGAGAAGAGUUAAGAGUUAACAGCAAUAUAUGCCACUAAAAGUUAUGUUUACAAAAAAUUUAAGGCUCUGGCAAAUGAUUAUCAUUUAAAUAAAAAAGCAGAACACCCCCCCACUCCAAUGCCUAUCCUCACAACUAUGUAAAAAUUUAUAGAGAAGUAUGACAAAAUGUCUUAAAAUCCAUCAUGAGGAUUCUUGUGACAUCUCACCUUUUUUGAGAGGAAUUUAUCCUUCUAAUAUAUGCUAUUCUAUUUAAAUAAAAAAGUGUUAUUUUCUGAUAAAAUAUGGAAAUUAAAUAUGUUCAUAAAAAGCUCAGAGAAUAUAGAAAAAACUAGAGCAACGAAUAAAGUUGCCCAUAAUUCUACCACCUAAAGAUAAACUAGCCCUUCAUCCCUCCUUUCAGAGAAAUUAUCAAAGUCAAUUAACAGAUGUAUGUGAUACGCCUACUAGACACUGUAAGCAAUGAAAAUUAGUGCCUCCCAACACUAUGAUAAAUCGCCUGCAGCGAUGGAACAAACAUGGUGUGCAUGUCACCACUACCCUCUCCCUUACCCAUGGCAGACCUUACUAAUCAAUCAGAAUUCUUCCUUCUGAGCCUGGAGGAGGUUAGAAAAUCCUUCUCAGCAAUGCUGUAGGCAGCCACUAGCAGUUACUCUGUGUGUGAGAUAAAAGACAUUUGCCUUUUCUGCUGGAAAAGUCAAUCCAGUUUGACAGACAUUGGUAUAUCUUUAGCCAGAAUUAAGAUGAUUAGAAGGCAGAGUUCGGGAUAUAUGAAACAGCAGCAACAUGGGGUAAUAGGUGAUGGAACUAGGGUAGCAAAUGGAUGAAAAUGUCGAGAAAACAGCAGUUUGUUCCUGGCUCAAGCUUCUGAGUUCUCUAGAUGAGUUCGAACACCUUAAACAUGUAAGUCAAACUCUCUAAUAUUGGCCAUCAACAAAAAUAUGAGAAUUUUCUUGGCUCUUCUGCUGGAGUAAAUAGUUGUUCUUGCUAAGGCUCUAAGAACUGCUGCUGUCAUAGAUAACAGCUUCUGCAUUAGCAGCCGCCUGGCAAGAAACUGCUAAAUGGAAAGCUCUUUGGGUAGUUGGAGUACAAAAUAUAUCCUGUAAAUCUGCAUUUUCUGCUGUGGUUGGAGGAUUUCCAUGUAAUCUCUUUGCAGACUUUUUAUAUGCUCAUUUGGAAGCCAUCACUAGUAAGCUAUUCCCAGGAUUGUCUGAAUUUAUGACCUUUAAAAUGUUUCCUGUAUAAUCCCAGACACUAUUUGUGACCAACUAAGCUGUUGCCAAAACAAGUCAUGUGACACACGGCAAAAGCAUGAUAUGUUGCAGGCCCGGUUUAUACAUAUGUGUGGCAUGGGAUAUUGGCUUGAAUUGGCUUGAGGUAGGGAAAAUGUCUUUUACUACUUUUUAUCGUAUUCAAGAUUUAAAAUCCUGUGUCUGAGGCAAAAUUUGUCUUAGUCCACAGUCUGUCAUUCUGUCCCUCAGUGAUAGUAAAUGAAUGUAAUUUAUUGAUCUACAGCAGUGCCAGUUAUACCAGUCACUCUGCACAUAUACUGCUAUUAAGAAUAGUGUGGAACUAAAAGCAGUACCAUAUUGGUCCCUAUUCUGAAGUAGCUGCUACCACCAUAGCUACUGUACAGCUCAAAUGGACCUGGCCAUUAGGGGGCCAAAUCUAUGGCAUUCACAGAAAUUACCACCCCCUUCCUCAUCUCUUGCUGCUGGUGCAGAAAUCCCUGAAAUGCAGCUGUGGGAUGGAUGCCUUCUCAGAAUUUGAGAGGCUCCAUGGGAGCUGCUGGGGCCAUUUUCAGGCUGUUCACCUUGACCACUUGACCAGUCUGUCCAGUAGGUGGCAGCUUUUUGUGUGGAACUUCAUCUGAAAUUGUGUCUGUUCCUGGAGUGCUAGCGCUUUUCUCUUAUUUCUUGUUUUCAUGUCACUCAAGCCUUCUACUGAGUUCCUUUCUUCAUUCUCUUCUCUUGUUCUCAUAUCUGGGUGUUUCCAAGUCUUACCUUUCACAUGGACCCUGUUACAGAACUUUCUUAUUAUUAAGAAGAACAUAGUGAAAGAGUCCUUGAUUUAGAAUUCCUGCUCUGUCCUUUUCUUGCUAAUGUUACCUUAGCCACCUAAUUAAUAUCUCUGACUUGCAGCCUCAGUUAAGAGCAAGGGCUUUGGGGUAAUGAAUAGGUUUGAAUUCUGGCCUUGUCGAGCUGUGAAACCAUGAGCAAAUUAUUUACCUCCCUGAGCUUACUUUCUUCAUUUGUAAAAUGAAUAAUGGCUAGUUGUCUCUCUUGCCUAUCAAUCCAAUUAGAUAAUAGAAAAGCCUCUUCUCCUCAUAGCACACAGUCAACACUUGCAAAAAAGAAGUGCAUCUUAAGAGUCCCUACUGGGCCCUGAUAAAGAGUAUUUUUAACUGUAAUGAUUUCAACAAGAGAAUUCUCAGUUUACACAUUAACAUUCACUAGGCAUGGUCUGUAUUUGUACAGCCUGUGCACUGGCUCAGGUGGUUGUUCUGUUCACUGAUUUAUCGUUGAGAGGAAGUAUAGCGUCAUGGUUUAGCACUCAGGCCUUGAAGCUACGUUACCUGAGUUUAAAUCCUAGCAUAGCCCUUAUUAGCCCUGUGAACUUGGGGAAGUUACUUAACCUCUCUGGGUCUGUUUCCUCAUCUAUAAAAUGGGCUUAAUAUGGAGUAUUUACCCCGUAAGUUAGUUGUGAGAAUCAAGUAAGCUAUUCCAUGUAAAGCAAUUAGAAGAGUGGUUUGGCACACAGAGUACAGUAAAUGUUAGCUAUUAUUAUCAAGCUUGUGGCAUCUCUACUUAUUGGAAGAGCUCCAAAAGCUAUGGUGUGUGUGUGUGUGUGUGUGUGUGUGUUUGCACACUCGCAUGUGCUCAUGGCUGGCAGAACUCCCCUUGCUUCCUUUAUUCUCUCCAGAGAUUAAGGAUCACCUUUUAAAAGGCAACUAGAAUAUUUAUUUCAGUGGAUGCUUUGACGCCCAGAAUUCAUAUCAGAACCCUUGCCUCUACUGAGCCAGUCUUGCCUUCAAACUUCCAGCAUUUCCUCUGUGAAGCCACAGCUCUGUCAUUCCUCCGGGAAAAGAGUUAAGGCCUCAUUGAGCACCUUCGUUGCACAGGCAGUGCACGUUGUAAGCCAGCAUAGGUUUUCCCUGAAGACAGUGAACAAGGCAGAGAACUGGAAAGGGAAGAAGAGUGAGAAAAGGCAAAAAAGAUAGGUGAUAAAACUCCUCUGGAAUUUUUCCAGAUUCAGAUUUUCUCCUGUGUCCACCCUUCUUACACAUGGAGGUGGCCAGCAGAUAUCUUGGAUUUUUUGUGGGAUUUGUCAUUUGCAUAUUCUUGCUGUAGUCCCCGUAGCACAGCCUGUUCCCAUGCCACAAAUCCUCAAUUUGGGGUUUAGAAAAUAUGAUCAGGCAAAGGAAUAGAACCCUUUGCUUUCACUGUUUGAAAAAUAAAUACCUUCUCUCAAAGACAGGGUAGGACGUAUUCCUGGAGCAGGCUGAUUUGUCCGUUUGGGAACCAAGGCGGUGCUUUGGGUGUUUUGCACACAAACUGGAGUCCUCUGCUGGGCGCUGCUGUGUCUGGCAGCCGGCCCUGACUGCAGCCUCACGUGGCCACCAAUUCCCAGGCCCCGGAGCCUGGUCUCUUUAUUGCUCCCUGCGUUGCUCUCUUCAUCUUUUCCCUCUACCUUCCUGUCUUUCCUUUUCUUUCUCAUCUCUUUCUUCCACCAUAACAGAGAGGUCAUCGUGGAGUGUUUGGGCUGCAUUUUUCGGAGCUGCCAAAACACGCACAGAGCACCAGGUUCACAUUUCAUGCAGAGAGAACGCUGCACAAAAUCUUGAUGCUUUAUCUUGCUUCACCCAUCUGGGACAAAGGGACAGUUCUCCAAGUAAACUCCAGGAAGGAAACGUUUCCUGUUCUCUAUCAGGCACUGAGUUAAUGCUGGUGACUAAGACACACACCUGUCCCCAAGGAGCUUGCAGUCCACCGGGGGAGGCAGACAGGGUGGAGUGACCCAGCAUGGUAAAUGCUAGGACAGGGGUGACAACGUAACCCAGCACUGGGGGUUGCGGGAAGGCCUCAGAGAGGGUGUGCCCCCAAGCUGAGCCCCAAAUAUGAGUGGUGUUAGCCAGACAACAGCAGAGAGAGGGAAAGAGCCUUAAUCUAACUCUCACAACAUGAUGAUGCUGUUACUGUAAUCUUCAUUUAUCAGUGAAGAAACCAUGGCUCAGAAGAUUCAGUUAGUCACCCCAGAUCAGUCACCUAGUAAAUUGUAAAGCCAGGAUACAAACCCAGGACUUCCAACUCUCAAGGAAGGCAAAUACUCUGUGUUCAAGUGUGCUUAAGGUCCACUGAGUCUUAUUUCUGAAAGUGACUUUGAAAACAAAGCAAAGACCAACUUUUCUCUAGGUGAUAUGGACUCAAAAAUAACUGCCUAGGCUCUGUCAUUUAACUCUUCAUGCUCUAUCAGCUGCAAGUGCCUGGAUCAAUACUUGAGGCCUGGUCACAGUCAUUCUGGCCACAUCGACAUGGGCAUGGCCUCAACUUGGUUUGGGUCCAGGUGCUUCUUUGACCCACAUUGAAGUACAGUAUAGUUGUUCCAUCAGAGCACUUGCCUCAUAAUGGUCAGUGACUCAGGAGCUGCUUUAAAACAGUUUCUUUGUCCUUCAGAUGUAUUCACAACAAUUCCACGUUGAAUUAGACCAAACUGCAAGACAGCUCUAAGACUCCAGCUAAGUGUCUGGGUAUGGUUGUUCAGACUGUCGACUGCACAAAAGUGGCUGGCCAAGGGAGCCAACUGGGCUGACUCCAUCCUGCACUCUGCUUACCAGUCUCUGUGCCCUGUCCUGGGCCUUGUCUGCCCGCCCAGAGGGAGAACCACCUUUUUUCUAACUGAUGUGCAGAGCUUCCCAGACCCAACAUUUCCUCUCAGAUAUAAGAUGCUUAUUCGACUAUGGUGGCCAUUUCUCCUCUGUACAUUUUGUAAAUUGAUAUCAUUCACAGUCUUAGAAAGCUUUCAUAACAGGCCUCCAUCAAAAGUCUGUUCUGUAUUUUUGUGGAAUUUCCUCAUGGAUUACCUAAAAUGAUACAAAUGGAAAUUUUAAAAAAUCUAUCCUUUUACAACCAAAAAUGUGCUACUUUUGGCCCUUGCCCAACUCAAUCUAGUUUGGGAACUAUGAUUCCCCAGGAAUUGAGAAAAGCAUUCCUAGCUUCCCCUGGAUUGCUGGAUUAGCGCAACUUCCCUCAGCCCACAGCUGAAUUCCAGCGCCGAGAAAGAAACGUCUUAGACUGAGUGAACUCCCAGCCUGGAGCCUGUCAGAGGUUGUGUCAUGUGUUUGCAUUAGCUGAAUAAAAAGCAAGCAGGCUUUCUGGCCUUACUCCCCCUCCUCCCCACACCCCCCUCUGGAGAGGCCGGUUAAAGUCUAGACAGUGUCUGCUUGGCAGUGAGCCUUUUCAGCACAGUCUGCACAGUUCUGCAGCUCUGACUUGAGUUGCCUCUCUUCACUCCCCCCUCGCCCCCGUUUUCUUAGUUAGCCUUAAACUGUCUCAGGGGACUGGCUUGAGCCUCACAUGUAAGAAGCAGGUGAAUGAAUUUAUGAGACCGUCAGGAUUCAGCUGUUUUGAGAGGUUCAGAGUUGAGAAAAUAUCAGCAGUGCUGGCUGCAGCUGUGGCUGAGUUUACAGAGAUUCCGUGAUGUGAGCCAGCUUCCAACAAGCCUCCAUUUAUUAGCCAGAGAUGGGCUGGAGGGAACCCAGGACAGACAGUGGCACCCAGGUAAUGAGCCUUGUGCUGUCCUUGGUGGAGUGAACUUGGGCAAGUCACUGGGCCCCUCAUCUGCAAAAUACGCGGGUUAGAGUAGGGGAGCUCUCAAACCCAGCUCUGAAAUCCUACCCAUAUAAAAGGAGGCAGACAUUUUAGGUUGGAUUGUCAAAGUAUUCUACUUAAUGGAAUUAAGAUAUUUGAUUAGAUCUUGUCUUAAUUGACGGCCCAAGGAGGAGCAGUUUGAGGGAGAAGCUGGCCCAGAAAUGGGAAAAGAGAACAAGUAAAAGCAGGAGGCAUUUGUGUCCCUUGCUUUCUCCUGUGUGCAUUGAAUGAAAUAUAAACGAUACAUCACGUGGCACCCGAACAGUCUUCAUGCCCAGAAAUCCCAGUUGCUGUCUAUUCUACAGAAAGGAAUCACUUGAUUUUUCCACUUUAGAAAGCAGCUAAUCCAUAACACUGAGCAAGAAAUGAAGGAUGCUGGGUCUUCUUGGGGUUGAGCAAGGAAUCUUUUUUUAAAAAAGAAGACAACCCAGGAUUCCAAACGUGCAACUUGAGCUUUUACUGAACUUACAAAAAAACAAAAACAAAACUUUCUUCUGACCUUUGUAAAUGUUCACGUUUUCUUUUCAAAAUAAUGAUGCAAUAUUGAAACAGCUUACAAAAAUCAUUGUCUGAAAGCGUUGCAUGGACCCUAUUUUGUUUUCCAGAACUCUUCUUGCCUUCUCCCCAUGUUGCCUGGGCCAUGACCAGGAUCCUUGGUUUCCUCAACAGGAAUUGAUGAAGUUCCUGCCCUGGUCCCCAUGCCUUCUCUCUAAAUCAGUUCAGGGCUCUUGUUACAGCUGAGGGCACUGCUCUUUGGCCUUGACCUCAGUGGUUAAAUCAAGUGACUUGAGAGGGUGAAUGCAGUAAGGAAGCAGAGGCCAGUGCAGAUGUUUUAGUCCUGUUUAAUGCUUGGUACCUUAACUGCACUCUAGUUCCCGAAUCCCACUAGACAAUCCCAGUAUGCUAAACUGUGCUGACUUAUGGUUCUGAAUGGGGGGCCAGCCCAGUGCUGUCUGUGGCUUUCCUAAUAAGGCCACUUGUACAGUGUCAGAAUUGAAUUCAAAUUGGCUGUGCUCCAGGGUAGACUAUAUACACAGACACACCCAUAAAUUUUACUACUUAACUGACUUAAGUUUCACUACUUGGAGAAUGUGACCAUCUACUUAUAGACUACAAUACACUCCCCUCACAAAUACACUCCCCUCACAGAAACAAAUUCCUGUGGAAACCAAAGAAGAGAAGCACAUAUGUUAUUAAAUUUCCCUUAAUUUGAUUGUUGUGUUUAAUCCAGUUUGGUACUUAACUUCUGUUAUAAUGUCCUGAUUUCUUUCUGAGCCUAGUGAUACAGAUCAGUGCUUAUUUUUGUGGUUGUGAGGUUUGCUUGUUAACUUAAUCAAUGUAUGUCAUUCAUUCAUUCAUUCAUUCAUUCCCUACCUCAUUCCAAGAAAAAGAAGUAUGUUUUUCUUCUCAAAUUCUAUGGCUAGCAUGUCCUACUAGUUUUUGUUAGGGUCACACUAAAUAGACAUAUUUUCCAUUUCGGAGAAGGACUCAAGUUUAUGGCCUAACAGUUGCAACAGAGAAAAAUAAAAUGGAUGGAGAACUUAAAAUUCCUGAUGACUCACCACGAUACCUGGCUCAUCUAGAUUUUAAUGUGAAAUUGACACACUAGUGUGGAACUUCUAUUAGAGCAGCUACAACUUUUGAAGCAGAAUUCCAGAUGCCCGCACUGAGCCCAGACUCAGACGUACCAGAGUUCCCGUCAUUGUCAGGGUCCCUAUCAGGAGGACCCAGGUGUGGCUUCUGGGGGGCCCAACCCAGCUCACAAAACCUGCUUGCGAAUGGUGGCAGAAUUCACAAAUGCUCAGAACGGUCAGCUUCACUUUUCCAAGGGCAUUCCCAUCCUUGGGUCUUCACCAUAUGCUGUGAUUACAAUGCUACAAUUAAUUGGGGCAGGCUGAGGUCUACAUCAGAAGCAGGAAAUUCACCUGGCUUCUCCUUAGAGUCCGUAGGAUCUUUCAGGAAUCUGUUCAUUUGUGCUUUGUCCCCCCUACCCCUCCUCUAGUCUUCUGUCCUUGGCAUUUUCUAUUUUCUUUCAUUUCUUAGCCUGUGUGGCCUUGGCCUUGCCAGCAGCCACAUGCAGAGAAGCAGACUUCCUAGUUUAGCUCUUUAUUUUAAGGGUAAAGCCUUUCACUUUAUGCAUUAAUUGGUGUCUGUAUCAUGUUCAACAAAAGAGUAACUUUCUGCGUGGCAUCAAGGGCUGGCUAAUGAUCAAAGAAAACCCCAGCACAAGGAUAUCCUCUUCAGGCUUUCUCUUUUUUUACAUAAAAAUAAAGAAACCAUGAAGGUGAUAUGAAAUCCUGUAAGAACAACCAACGCUUGAGGAUUAUUAACCCUGCUAUGUUGGUCAUUUGACAGCUUAGUGGCCUGGAGUGCAAAGACCUCCUCAUUCCCCAAUGAUCUGUUUAACUCCAGGAAAGUCUUCUCUCUAACCAGG